rnacentral:rRNA from 1 species
GACGUAGGGUGCAAGCGUUGUCCGGAUUUACUGGGCGUAAAGAGCGCGUAGGCGGUCUGUUAAGUGAGAAGUGAAAUCUCCAGGGCUCAACCCGGAAACUGCUUUUCAUACUGGCAGACUUGAGGGAUGCAGAGGUUUGUGGAAUUCCUGGUGUAGCGGUGAAAUGCGUAGAGAUCCGAAGGAACGCCGGUGGCGAAAGCGGCGGACUGGGCACCUUCUGACGCUGAGGCGCGAAAGCCAGGGGAGCAAACGGG